rnacentral:rRNA from 1 species
UGGGGAACAUGACCUUCGGCGGGGGAUAGCCGGCCCAACGGCCGGGUAAUACCGCGUACGACCACAUGGGGACAUCCCUGAGUGGUGAAAGCAGCAAUGCGCCGAUGGAGUGCCUCGCGGCCUAUCAGCUAGUUGGUGAGGUAACGGCUCACCAAGGCGACGACGGGUAGCUGGUCUGAGAGGAUGGCCAGCCACAUUGGAACUGAGAUACGGUCCAGACUCCGUAGGAG